UGCGUAGGCGGACUAAUAAGUCAGUGGUGAAAUCUUUCGGCUCAACCGAGAAACUGCCAUUGAUACUGUUAGUCUUGAGUUCGGUAGAGGUAGGCGGAAUGUGAAAUGUAGCGGUGAAAUGCUUAGAUAUUACACAGAACACCAAUUGCGUAGGCAGCUUACUAUGCCGACACUGACGCUGAGGCACGAAAGCGUGGGGAGCGAACAGGAUUAGAUACCCUGGUAGUCC
rnacentral:rRNA from 1 species